rnacentral:rRNA from 1 species
UACGUAGGGUGCGAGCGUUAAUCGGAAUUACUGGGCGUAAAGCGUGCGCAGGCGGUUUUGUAAGCCAGAUGUGAAAUCCCCGGGCUUAACCUGGGAAUGGCAUUUGGGACUGCAAGGCUGGAGUGUGGCAGAGGAGACUGGAAUUCCCGGUGUAGCAGUGAAAUGCGUAGAUAUCAGGAGGAACACCGGUGGCGAAGGCGGCUUCCUGGACAAAAACUGACGCUGAGGCGCGAAAGCUAGGGGAGCAAACAGG